UACGAAGGGGGCUAGCGUUGCUCGGAAUCACUGGGCGUAAAGGGUGCGUAGGCGGGUUUUAAGUCAGGGGUGAAAUCCUGGAGCUCAACUCCAGAACUGGCCUUUGAUACUGAAGAUCUCGAGUCCGGGAGAGGUGAGUGGAACUCCGAGUGUAGAGGUGAAAUUCGUAGAUAUUCGGAAGAACACCAGUGGCGAAGGCGGCUCACUGGCCCGGUACUGACGCUGAGAUACGAAAGCGUGGGAGCA
rnacentral:rRNA from 1 species